rnacentral:tRNA from 1 species
GGCGAGAUGGCCGAGUGGUCUAAGGCGCUAGAUUUAGGCUCUAGUCAUUCGUGGCGUGGGUUCGAAUCCCACUCUCGUCA